GAGGGUAAAACUUAGCGGUAGAGUGCAUGCUUGGCAUGCUUGAGGUCCUGGGUUCAAUCCCCAGUACCUCUU
rnacentral:tRNA from 1 species